rnacentral:lncRNA from 1 species
GAUCAGUUAUGUGAAUAAAUAUUAAUGAUAAUGUUUUUUGGAGAGUUUUAAGUGUUUAGGAGCUAAAGCAUUGCUCAUAUAAGCUAGAGGGCUUUCGUCCCUGCAUCAAAACUGUCUCAAUUGUUGGGAAAAAAUCACCUCCCAAAUAUUGUUGUCUUUGAUAAAUUAAACGGAUAAAAUAUCAGCACAUGCCAAACAGAUUAAAUUUGCAGUUCCACCAAAAUAAUAACCACUGCAGAAAUAAUACGUAAGAAAAAUAUCCAAUCACGAGACACUAAAAUUUUUACGCGGAAAACCCUCUAAAACUAAGAGGUAAAAACCACAGGACAAACUCCGAAGAAUUCACUAGAAUAUCUGAGAUAAAGAUAUCUUAAUUUGAGUACAAACCCAAAUUAUUUAACCACAAUAACUAUGUGAUGGAACUCAAAUAAAACACUUUUUUAUUUGAACUACUUUUCUCUCUCUAUUUUCUAAAGCUUUACAAAAGCUUUUCUUUCUCUCCUUCCUUCUCUUGUAACUCUCUGGGAUGGAGUAUGUAUUAUUGG